UACGUAGGGGGCUAGCGUUGUCCGGAAUCAUUGGGCGUAAAGCGCGUGUAGGCGGUCCGGUAAGUCCGCUGUGAAAGUCGGGGGCUCAACCCUCGGAUGCCGGUGGAUACUGUCGGGCUAGAGUCCGGAAGGGGCGAGUGGAAUUCCUGGUGUAGCGGUGAAAUGCGCAGAUAUCAGGAGGAACACCGAUGGCGAAGGCAGCUCGCUGGGACGGUACUGACGCUGAGACGCGAAAGCGUGGGGAGCAAACAGG
rnacentral:rRNA from 1 species